rnacentral:lncRNA from 1 species
AUCGACUGCAUCAGCAAUUGUUUUUUCAGGUGGUGAGAAGAACAAGGCUAAACCUGUAGUGAGAUCAAUAUCGUCUGGAGACUCGAAACAGAAUAUUCUUCCGAAAAUCAAGUGGCAAUCUUCUUCAGACGCCAGUGGAAAAUUGGUGGAGGAUUGUGAUGUAAUGGUAUAAGAUACAUACAACACACCAGUUGAUAUUGUUCUCAUUCAAUACUUGUGUUGUACAUGAAGUAAGUAUAAACGAUUUCGUUACAUUUAUUCAGUUAAAAAUAGGAUGAAACAUAACAGAACUAGCAUUGUCGAAGUAAGGGAUAUAUUAUGGACACAUUAUGGAUAUAUUUAAUAACUAAUUUGAAUAAGCCGAUGAGUGAUCCAAGUGGUUUUUGUGUUAAUACUGUUAAAUCUUAUAGUAAUAAAAUAACUGAGUAGUUACAAUGCAACAACUACUGCUUCAACAAUGCAUAUUUGUCGUCCAAUCUUUGAAUACUUUAUGAACCCGAUCGCAUGGUGUUGAAAUAAAAAUUUAAUGGUUUUCAAUUUUUUGUGAUUGUAUAGAGUAUAAAUAGUGUCUGAACAGAUGUACAUAUAAUGGCGACUGUGUAUCUUACCAGAUCAAAUUUAUAUUUUAAAAUCAUUGUACCAUAGGCUGUUUUUUUGUAUAUGAACUCUAGCACAUUUGCUUUUUUAAUUUAGUAAUUUUUUUCUUAAUUGCAAUCAGAUGUUAUAUAAAAGCCGCCUAAACCAUGACAGUUAAAGUAUUAUUUUAGAUCGCGAUUGUGAUUUGAUGGUGUAUGGAUAUUUUACUUACUGUUUAGAAAAUAGUGCCAUGCAGUUACGCUUAUUGCUAAAUUUAUUGUUUUUUAUGUUAGCUCUCAUUUAAUCUAUGUGUUAAAAAUCCUUUUAACUACCACUACUAAUGGUAAUAGUAUGUACAUUAUAAUAUGUAUAUAGUGUAUUUUUCUCUUUCCAGAAGUCUAUUAAUUUAUCCGUUUUCAAGUGUGUCUUCUGAUAUGCAUUAUUAUAGACAAUUCAAAGCAUCUAGAACCCCCUAUUUACUAUUCCACUACUUGGUGGCAGAAAUAAUCACGUUUAAGUUCCAACUUACUAAUUACUAACAUUGAAAUUGCAUGACUAAGUUUAAAUGUUGAGAUGAAACUCAUAAAACUACAAUAAGAAGUCGAUAAUUCGAGCGAUUAUCUGAAAACGUUGCAAUACUAGAAAGGACAUUUACGUCUUUACUUAUACUUCUGGAGUCCAAGUAUGAAUCAACAUUUUUGAUUUAGGCAAUCCUACGACAAGAACAGGACAAAACUGAAUUAUGAAAUUAUUUCAGCAACCAAUGUUACAAUUAGCAGAAAGUUAAAAUUUAUAUGUGAACAUAAAUGUGUUUUUUUUGUUUGUACUCUAUAUUUGCACUUUCCACCUUCACCUAUUUUUCAGACAUAAAUGUUUACCUUUUUAAGUGGUGGCUAUUAAAAUUUCCUAUUAAUGCUAUGUUGAUUUCGUGCGCAUAUUAAUAAGUUCAAGCGGAUCUUCACUGGAUUUGUUACGACCACAUAAAAAAUUAUAAAAAAAUGUAAACAUUGUUUUCUGUUUUACCAACAUUUAUUGCUUAUAUUAAUGCUUAUAUUAUUACUUUUUUCAUUACAUAUUUUUUCUGUCGUACCAUUGCCAUAUCUAAGCACUACUUGUCAUUCGUAUUCAGUAUUUAUCAAUUAUAUUAAACCGCUAAAUAACAUAAUUUAGAUGAAUUUUCUCCCCAAGUGUUUGCUCAAAUAUUUUGGACAUAGAAAUGCACGAACUGGUUUGCUCAAUAAAGUAAUAUGAUGGUGACAGAUAGAUCAUUGUAUUUGUUAUAUUUUGUGUUAUUUGCUGCAUGGCUUGUCUCAUUUCGCCGUCUAAGUAUGAGAGUAAAUUAAAAAAGCCAAUGCUUAAAUCUUUCGCAAAAUUAAAAAUCAAGUGUCACGUGGUUCGUUAAUAAUAAUAUAAUUCUAUCUAUGAAGCGGCUUGUGCCUAAUUUUGCUUUUAAAAUAAAACCUCCCCACAUUUCCAGGUCUAAGACUUUUCAAUCUCUUUCAUAUUUGUAUAACACUUCAUGUAAGCUAAUUUGUACACAUUCAUUAUGGAGGGUUUGGUUGCAAGAAGUCCAGAUUUGAUCGUUUUUUUUAACUGUAUGGUUUCUUGUAUAUAUGUAAUUAUCUUUAAUCUAUAUUGUUAAAAAGCAAUUAAUUGUUUAUCCGAAAAAUGUGAUUUAAAGGUGCGUAAUGUUUAAAUCUUAGUCAUAAAUAUUAUCUGAUAUGUUAUUUGAAAGUGAUUUUAGGAGUACAUUUGAUUUUAAUCCAACUUUAGCGAAGAUAUAAUUCCAGAGUAGAUUUGAGCUCACUAAUUCUUGUUUGGUAAUGUUCUAUAUUCGUUUCCAUUGAUAUAAAAAAGUUAGAAAUAUAAACUGAAAGUUAUUCAGAACCAAUAAUUAUGUUUCCAAAUGGAAACAUUUUGAAAGGUAUCAUUUUGAUGCUAAAUAUUCAUGAUAAACUGCUGGACCAAAAACAUAUUUUUUUAUUAAUUGCUUGCCGGUAGAUUUAAAACCAGUAACUACAGGCAAAAACCAAAAAUGUAUAUGACAAAGUUGAGUUGUGGACUUAACCGCAGUAUAGAUAGAUGCAAGCCGAAUACGCAUACAAAAA